rnacentral:lncRNA from 1 species
AUACCCUUUAGAGAUCAAUCUCCAAGCUCUAAGAUAAGAAAUAAACCUCCCCAGGAGCUAGGGAACCAUCCUCCCACUCUAUAAUCGGUUCACCAGGGAACCUAAAGAUGGUCUUAUGGGUCCGACAAUCUAAGGACGUGUAACAAGAGUGUAUCCAAUCCAUCCCCAGAAUAACAUAAAAAUCCACCAUAUCUAGCUCAAACAGAUCUACCAAGGUUUGCUUGCUACUAACAGAUACCACACCCCCC